rnacentral:rRNA from 1 species
GAUCGAAGCCCCAGUAAACGGCGGCCGUAACUAUAACGGUCCUAAGGUAGCGAAAUUCCUUGUCGGGUAAGUUCCGACCCGCACGAAUGGCGUAACGAUGGCCACACUGUCUCCUCCCGAGACUCAGCGAAGUUGAAGUGGUUGUGAAGAUGCAAUCUACCCGCUGCUAGACGGAAAGACCCCGUGAACCUUUACUGUAGCUUUGCAUUGGACUUUGAAGUCACUUGUGUAGGAUAGGUGGGAGGCUUUAAAGCAGAGACGCCAGUCUCUGUGGAGCCGUCCUUGAAAUACCACCCUGGUGUCUUUGAGGUUCUAACCCAGACCCGUAAUCCGGGUCGGGGACCGUGCAUGGUAGGCAGUUUGACUGGGGCGGUCUCCUCCCAAAGAGUAACGGAGGAGUUCGAAGGUUACCUAGGUCCGGUCGGAAAUCGGACUGAUAGUGCAAUGGCAAAAGGUAGCUUAACUGCGAGACCGACAAGUCGAGCAGGUGCGAAAGCAGGACAUAGUGAUCCGGUGGUUCUGUAUGGAAGGGCCAUCGCUCAACGGAUAAAAGGUACUCCGGGGAUAACAGGCUGAUUCCGCCCAAGAGUUCAUAUCGACGGCGGAGUUUGGCACCUCGAUGUCGGCUCAUCACAUCCUGGGGCUGUAGUCGGUCCCAAGGGUAUGGCUGUUCGCCAUUUAAAGUGGUACGUGAGCUGGGUUUAAAACGUCGUGAGACAGUUUGGUCCCUAUCUGCAGUGGGCGUUGGAAGUUUGACGGGGGCUGCUCCUAGUACGAGAGGACCGGAGUGGACGAACCUCUGGUGUACCGGUUGUAACGCCAGUUGCAUAGCCGGGUAGCUAAGUUCGGAAGAGAUAAGCGCUGAAAGCAUCUAAGCGCGAAACUCGCCUGAAGAUGAGACUUCCCUUGUGGUUUAACCACACUAAAGAGUCGUUCGAGACCAGGACGUUGAUAGGUGGGGUGUGGAAGCGCGGUAACGCGUGAAGCUAACCCAUACUAAUUGCUCGUGAGGCUUGACUCU